rnacentral:rRNA from 1 species
ACGGAAGGCAGCAGUGGGGAAUAUUGGGCAAUGGGCGAAAGCCUGACCCAGCGACGCCGCGUGAAGGAAGAAGGCCUUCGGGUUGUAAACUUCUGUAGACAGGGACGAAGAAAUGACGGUACCUGUAAAGUAAGCCACGGCUAACUACGUGCCAGCAGCCGCGGUAAUACGUAGGUGGCGAGCGUUAUCCGGAUUUACUGGGUGUAAAGGGUGUGUAGGCGGAGGAUCAAGUCAGAUGUGAAAAUUACGGGCUCAACUCAUAACUUGCAUUUGAAACUGAUCUCCUUGAGUGUGGGAGAGGUAAAUGGAAUUCCCAGUGUAGCGGUGAAAUGCGUAGAUAUUGGGAGGAACACCAGUGGCGAAGGCGGUUUACUGGACCACAACUGACGCUGAGACACGAAAGCGUGGGGAGCAAACAGGAUUAGAUACCCUGGUA